UACGUAGGGGGCUAGCGUUUGUCCGGAAUCAUUGGGCGUAAAGAGCGCGUAGGCGGCUAGAUAAGUCCGGUGUGAAAGUCACAGGCUCAACCUGUGAAUGCCGCUGGAAACUGUCUGGCUAGAGUCCGGAAGGGGCGAGUGGAAUUCCUGGUGUAGCGGUGAAAUGCGCAGAUAUCAGGAGGAACACCAAUGGCGAAGGCAGCUCGCUGGGACGGUACUGACGCUGAGGCGCGAAAGCGUGGGGAGCAAACAGG
rnacentral:rRNA from 1 species